rnacentral:rRNA from 1 species
UACGUAGGGGGCAAGCGUUGUCCGGAUUCAUUGGGCGUAAAGAGCGCGCAGGCGGUCGUGCAAGUCGCGUGUGAAAGCCCCCGGCUCAACUGGGGAGGGUCACGCGAUACUGCUCGACUUGAAGGCAGGAGAGGGAAGUGGAAUUCCCGGUGUAGUGGUGAAAUGCGCAGAUAUCAGGAGGAACACCGAUGGCGAAGGCAGGUCUCUGGGCAUUAACUGACGCUGAGGAGCGAAAGCAUGGGGAGCGAACAGG